UACGAAGGGGGCUAGCGUUGCUCGGAAUCACUGGGCGUAAAGGGUGCGUAGGCGGGUCUUUAAGUCAGGGGUGAAAUCCUGGAGCUCAACUCCAGAACUGCCUUUGAUACUGAGGAUCUUGAGUUCGGGAGAGGUGAGUGGAACUGCGAGUGUAGAGGUGAAAUUCGUAAAUAUUCGCAAGAACACCAGUGGCGAAGGCGGCUCACUGGCCCGAUACUGACGCUGAGGUGCGAAAGCGUGGGGAGCAAACAGG
rnacentral:rRNA from 1 species